rnacentral:rRNA from 1 species
GACGAACGCUGGCGGCGUGCUUAACACAUGCAAGUCGAACGGUGAAGGGACCGGUUUUUGCUGGUUCUGGAUGAGUGGCGCACGGGUGAGUAACACGUGAGUAACCUGCCCCCUUCUUCUGGAUAACCGCAUGAAAGUGUGGCUAAUACGGGAUAUUCUGCGCCUGCUGCAUGGUGGGGGUGGGAAAGAUAUUGUUUCGGUGGGGGAGGGGCUCGCGGCCUAUCAGCUUGUUGGUGGGGUGAUGGCCUACCAAGGCGGUGACGGGUAGCCGGCCUGGGAGGGUGGACGGCCCCGCUGGGACUGCGCCACGGCCACGACUCCUACGGGCGGCAGCAGUGGGGAUUAUUGCACGAUGGGCGCAAUCCUGAUGCAGCGACGCCGCGUGAGGGAUGGCGGUCUUCGUGUUGUAAACCUCUUUCGCCAGUGAAGCAGGCCUGUCCCUUUUGUGGGUGGGUUGACGGUAGCUGGAGAAGAAGCGCCGGCUAACUACGUG